rnacentral:lncRNA from 1 species
GGGCGGCUUAGCCCAAGCGGUGCCACCUCCUGGCUGGGGCGGUGCCACCUCUUUCACUAUUUCAGCUCACUUGGUUUGGCUCCAAACUUGGCCCAAACCAGUCCGAACUUGGGCCUAAUUAGCCCCUACUUGGGUUAUAGGAUUAACACCUAAUCCUAACCCUAAUUAAUGUGCUAACUAUGAUUUUAAAGACAUUUUCUAAGCUAUUACAAAGUCCGUAAGUCAAGACUUCUUCUAGCGAGCUUCCGGCAAACUUCCGGCGGUCUUCCGAUGAACUCUCGGAAACCAUUCUGCGGACUCCCGGCAAGCUCCUAGACUUCACGAUUUGUUCUUAGCGAGUUCCAACGAGCUUCUUCGGCAAGCUCCGAUCUUUCUCGGCGAGCUCCGCGAACUCCCAACGAACCUUCCGGCGAGCUUCCGAAAAUCCCUUCGGCAAGCUCCCAACUCAUUCUCGGCUAGUUCCGGUAGCAUUCCCGACGAACCUUCGGACUUCCGUCGAACU